UUCUCCCCAGGUGGGCUCUCCUCGCCAAAAAAGGCUACCAGGACCCCCAGAUUUCCAUCACCAAACUCAAAGGGAAGUGGCCGACUUGGUGAAGCCGCCUCAUGUGGGGGCCCUGGUGCUGCAGACGGGGGCGCAAGUCCUUUCCCUGCUGACCGCUUGAACACCCGCCAUGCAGCCAGUGUGUGUGAGAAAGAAGCAUGUGAUGCCGGAGACAGCUGGGGGUUCUCAGGAAGGCCUUCACAGAGGAGUGGCGCCUGGACAGGGCUUUCAGGGAUGUGUAGGAGGUUCCAGUAGAAAAAGGUACGGGUUGAGAAGCCAGGCUAGAGAAACUGCAUUUCCGAAGGCUGCCAACAGAAAAGAAGGGGGUGUUUGAGACUAAUGGCUUGAGCUUCAGAGGGGUGAGGGGUGUGGGAGGGCUGGAGCCGGAACAUCCUGUAGCCCUGCUCCCUGAUGGGGGGCACCUCUGUCAGGUGCUCCUCCUCCACCUUUCUCGGCUGCAUUUUCCUCCUCCCUCCACCUAUCCACAGCCCUAACUUCCACCUCUGCUCUUCUGAUGCCCAGGGUGUGUGUAGCCCCAGUGAACACCUGCCCAGAGCACAGCUGUCUUCCAGGUGCACACCCACAUGUCCAAAGGUCAACUAUUUCCCUCUCCUGGCAUGGCCUCUGUGACAUCCACUAGUUCCGAGGGCUCUGACAUCCACUAGUUUAGUGCGGCAGCCAGACCCAUGACUCAGCCUCAACCCCUUCCUGUCCCUUCCAACAUGUUUCACUACUUGCCCAUGCCACGCCUGCAUGAGACUAUGACCUCCUAGAGGACCCUUAGAUUCUCCUCUCACCCAUUCCCUACUGCUCGGUGCACACCACUCAGUAGCCAGGCUGAACUUUCACACCAGGCAUCCUCAGAGCCUGCAGCCCCUGCUUCUGCUCUCAGGAGGCCCCCGGCCAAUCAUGGUGGCCACCCAUCCCUCCUAAUCCCAAUGACUGCCUCUCUCAGCACCCUCUGACAGCCCUCACUUUCCUUUCCUGGGCAUGCAUUCCCCAAAUUCAGUGUUCUUGUGGGCAGCACUGGAGGGUCAGCCUCCCCUUCCAAUGUCCUUGGCCACCCUUUGACCCCAGGCAGAGCUUUCUGUCUUCUCACCUGUGCCCUGACAUGCCAGCGCUGCUGUGUGUGGGAUGGGAGACUCACCUCCUCUCCAUCCUGGGCAGGUGCCGGGCCCAACUCUCCCCUGGAUCUUCAGUACUAGAAGCAGCAGGCUGUUGGAAUAUUCUGGUUGAUGCCAGGCAUGGUAGCUAGAGCCUAUAAUCCCAGCUACUUGGGAGGCUGAGGCAGGAAGAUCUCUGAAGCCCAGGAGUUAGAGGAUGCAGUAAGCGUUGAUGACACCACUGCAUUCCAGCCUGGACAGGGAGAAAACGUGUUCUUCUUGGUGACCAACUUCCUUGUGACGCCAGCCCAAGUUCAGGGCAGAUGCCCAGAGUUUGAAUUCGGAAAGGCACAAGGAAAAAUUUUACUCUCCUCUUUCAACCAGGCACUACAGACAGAGAUCCAGAAGAGUUCACUUCGAUACAGGGUCCUGCUAUGUUGCCUCCUAGGUUCAAGCCAUCCUCCCAACUCAGCUUCCUGAGUAACUGGGACUACAGGCAUGUACCACCAUUCCCACCUAAUAAAGUCUACUUUUAAAAAUCACUUUUCCAUAAAUAUAAGUGUUUAUUUGUGGACUGUCAAUUCUAUUCCAUUCAUCUAUGUGUCUACUCUUAUAUCACCACCACAAUCUUGAUUACAAUCAUUUCAUAGUUUAGAAAUCAGGAAUUGUAAGUCCUCCAAAUCUUUUUCAAAAGUAUUUUGGCUAUUCUGGAUCCUUUGCAUUUCCACAUUAAUUUUGAUGAUUUCUGCAAAAUAGGCAGUUGGGAUUUCAAUAGGAAUUGCACUGAAUCUAUGCAACUCCUGAAUCUGUAGACCAGUCUGGGGAAUACUGC